AAUUGCAUAGUUAGGUAACUGUUGAUAGAAAGAAUUAAACAAAUAGGAAACAAUUUAGAUGAUUUCCAUGUUCUGUUGCAGCCUUGAGAAUAAUAUAUACUGUUAGUUUCACUAGUGGUACGAUCUCAUGUACUCCAUAUACUCGACAAGAUUGUGGUAAGCACUGACCACCACUGCCAACAUAGGUAGCAAGCACAUACUAUAUUAGUUUGGUACGGGGAAGGUAGCUAUUAGUGGUGGUUGCACUUGCAUAUGCCUUCUAGGUAUCCAAUGACCAAAAUAUUUGAAACUGUCCAACUGUGCAAGUCAUGUCUGUAUAUGAGUUACUAAAUCUUGUUAUGAUUUUCACAUGCAUAAAUAGGCACUACAGAUCUUUCAGUUAAAACCAUGAAUACGCUAAUAGAGAUGCUAAACUCCCAUAUGAGAUAUAAUUACUAAUGGAUCUCACCCAAUUUGAAUAAUUUGGAGAUCCUCCAUUAUAGCUUCUAAACCCCUGUCUCCCAGAGGAUGUAGAUGACAUCAAACUGUGGUUCCUCUCAUGGCAUAAUUUCUUCAAUUUGCACAAUUUUGAAUUGAAGUGAGAAAAAAUCUAGCUGGUCCCCUUUUUAUAUUUACUAAUUUCUUUUAGCAAACAUGCAGGUUGCUCCUUACUUUAGUCUCCCAAUUCUUUGUUGCAUUAGCUUACACCAUCUUAACCAAUUCACUGUAAUUUAAAAGUAAUGAAUAUUUUUGCUGUUCAUUUGAUUUACUCUUAGCCGGUUAGCCCUGUAUUUCUUAGUUUUUCCUUUAUCACUUUAAUUGAUCAGCAUUCUGAUCCAUUUGAAGCUGUCAAUGUUAUUGCUGCCUUAUAAAAAAAAUAUUACAUUUCAAA
rnacentral:lncRNA from 1 species